rnacentral:rRNA from 1 species
AGAGUUUGAUCCUGGCUCAGAGCGAACGCUGGCGGCGUGCCUAACACAUGCAAGUCGAACGUGAAAGGGGGCAACCCUGAGUAAAGUGGCGUACGGGUGAGUAACGCGUAGGUAAUCUACCCCAGAGUUUGGAAUAACCUGCCGAAAGGCGGGCUAAUACUAGAUAGAGCGACGGAAUCCGUAAUCGGAUUUUUCGGGAAAGGGAGGACGUAAGUCCCUUCGCUCUGGGAUGAGCCUGCGUCUCAUUAGCUAGUUGGUGGGGUAAUGGCCCACCAAGGCUUUGAUGGGUAGCUGGUCUGAGAGGAUGAUCAGCCACACUGGAACUGAAACACGGUCCAGACUCCUACGGGAGGCAGCAGUGGGGAAUCUUGCGCAAUGGGCGAAAGCCUGACGCAGCCACGCCGCGUGAGUGAAGAAGGCCUUCGGGUUGUAAA